GAGAGGACGCAACGCAAACAUCUUUGUCUCGAGUAUAGACCCCCCCACUUGUGUCGAUUAGUCUUGUAUCGCCGUUCCCCUACAAGGUCCAAGAACACCACGAUGAAGACAACGGUGCUGAUACUGGCCGUCCUUCUUAUCUCAGCAGUGACGCUGACGGAGGGGUCUCCGGCUAAACCAUCAAGAUCCGGUUCACGGGGGGCUUCGCGAGGCAAGAAAUGUGGGAACUACUACUGCGAACCAAAUGAGACCUGCGAGCCAUCAUUUGUGGGGCCUGCAUGCACGUCUAAACUUCAAUACAAGUAGAAGACCCAUGGAUGGACACCAACGAGAUCGACCUGGUUGGCUGCGGAAUAAAGUUACUUGCGUUCACCGA
rnacentral:lncRNA from 1 species